UACCUGAUUCUUAGUCAAGACUGUGGGCUU
rnacentral:piRNA from 1 species